AAGCUGAGCCUUUUGCUAGUGAAUGGGAGGUAAGAGUCUCUUGGAUUUGUACACCCAAAGCUGGCUUCCAACGGUGGGGGAGCUUCUGAUCUCAGCCUUCACAGCAGCUGGGAUUACAGAAGUGUGGAUCCCUCAUAUUUCCUUCCUGUUGCCUACUGGAUAAUCCGCCUAGGGAAGAAGCUGAGGGAGGACCAGCCUGUAGAACGAUGGAUUCCUCCCAGAGAUGGCCACACCCUAAUCCUGUGUUCCUGUGUGCUUAUGCUAAGAAACAUGUUCAGAUGACAUCAGCGCUUUGUACAAAGCCAUCAGGUGCACUGGAAGAGGAGAGGUCACUGUGAGUGGGAGAUCAUGGCUGGAAGA